ACGGCGAGUGAAGCGGCAACAGCUCAAAUUUGAAAUCUGGCCCUCUCAGGGUCCGAGUUGUAAUUUGUAGAAGAUGCUUUGGGUGUGGCUCCGGUCUAAGUUCCUUGGAACAGGACGUCGUAGAGGGUGAGAAUCCCGUAUGUGACUGGCUGCCUCCGCCCGUGUAAAGCUCUUUCGACGAGUCGAGUUGUUUGGGAAUGCAGCUCAAAAUGGGUGGUAAAUUUCAUCUAAAGCUAAAUAUUGGCCAGAGACCGAUAGCGCACAAGUAGAGUGAUCGAAAGAUGAAAAGCACUUUGGAAAGAGAGUUAAACAGUACGUGAAAUUGUUGAAAGGGAAGCGCUUGCAAUCAGACUUGCGCGCGGCCGAUCAUCCGGAGUUCUCUCCGGUGCACUCGACCGCGCUCAGGCCAGCAUCGGUUCCGGUGGUUGGAUAAAGGCUGCGGGAAUGUGGCUCCUCUCGGGGAGUGUUAUAGCCCGCGGUGCAAUGCAGCCUACCGGGACCGAGGACCGCGCUUCGGCUAGGAUGCUGGCGUAAUGGUUGCAAGCGACCCGUCUUGAAACACGGACCAAGGAGUCUAACAUUUAUGCGAGUGUUUGGGUGUAAAACCCAUACGCGGAAUGAAAGUGAACGGAGGUGAGAACCCUUAAGGGUGCAUCAUCGACCGAUCCUGAUGUCUUCGGAUGGAUUUGAGUAAGAGCAUAACUGUUGGGACCCGAAAGAUGGUGAACUAUGCCUGAAUAGGGUGAAGCCAGAGGAAACUCUGGUGGAGGCUCGCAGCGGUUCUGACGUGCAAAUCGAUCGUCAAAUUUGGGUAUAGGGGCGAAAGACUAAUCGAACCAUCUAGUAGCUGGUUCCUG
rnacentral:rRNA from 1 species